AUACUUACCUGGCGUCGGGAUACCAUGAUCAUGCAGGCGGUUCCCCCAGGGUGAGGCUGCUCCAUCGCACUGCGGAGUGGUGGACCUUUGCGAUUAUUUUUAUUUUUUAUAAGUUUCACUUCUAC
rnacentral:snRNA from 9 species